rnacentral:rRNA from 1 species
UACGAAGGGGGCUAGCGUUGCUCGGAAUCACUGGGCGUAAAGCGCACGUAGGCGGCCUUUUAAGUCAGAGGUGAAAUCCUGGAGCUCAACUCCAGAACUGCCUUUGAUACUGGAGAGCUUGAGUCCGGGAGAGGUGAGUGGAACUGCGAGUGUAGAGGUGAAAUUCGUAGAUAUUCGCAAGAACACCAGUGACGAAGGCGGCUCACUGGCCCGGUACUGACGCUGAGGUGCGAAAGCGUGGGGAGCAAACAGG